CUAAUCUCUGAUAAAUAUUUACUUGCAGCUCUAAGUCAAUCCUAGAUGAGGAUGGGAUGGUUGGAAGGCAUCACUGAGUCAAUGGACAUGAACUUGGGCAAACUCUGAGAGAGAGUGAGGGACAGGGAGGUCUGGUGUGCUGCAUUCCAUGGGGUUGCAAAGAGUCGGACAUAACUUAGUGACCGAACAACAACAAGGUCAAUAGUAAAAAAGCUAAAGGAACGUGGCACCCUGUUCACGAAGAAGACAUGUCUAGCUUAUGGAAGCCCUGCUUUCUUCCUCAUUACUAGACUAUCUGGCUUAAUUAUGGGAACCUGCACCCUGAGAAUGACACGGAUAACAGAAGGUAAGUAUAGAAGAGUCUGGAAACCUUACGCAUUGUGAGAAAUUGUGGCGAGGACUGGGUGGUACAGCAGGUAUGUUUAAAUGUCCAGUUCAAUGUAAGGAGGCUGUUUUCGUGUUCAGUAGUCCCUAAUAGCCCUGCUUUACUGAGGUUCAAAGGAUUUAGUGGGCUUUGUCGUCUGUUUUGAUAGAUAGUCUUCCUGAGCUUGAGAGAACAGCACAGCUCUUUUUAUAAUUUAUGAUGGCAAGCUACCUAGCUCCUUCACUCUCUCCUGUGCCAUCUUCUUUCUUCUCAUACUGGCACAAAUUCGAGGCGGCUGACCUUCGUAUGACCAAAGGUCAGGAGAUGUUGUGAGGAGGGUCCCUGGAGUCUGGUGAUUAGCC